AUUGAACGCUGGCGGCAGGCCUAACACAUGCAAGUCGAGCGGAGCGGCGGACGGGUGAGUAAUGCCUAGGAAUCUGCCUGGUAGUGGGGGAUAACGUCCGGAAACGGGCGCUAAUACCGCAUACUAUCAGAUGAGCCUAGUUCUUAGUAGCUAGUUGGUGGGGUAAAGGCCUCCCAAGGCGACGAUCCGUAACUGGUCUGAGAGGAUGAUCAGUCACACGUGAACUGAGACACGGUCCAGACUCCUACGGUAGGCAGCAGUGGGGAAUAUUGGACAAUGGGCGAAAGCCUGAUCCAGCCAUGCCGCGUGUGUGAAGAAGGUCUUCGGAUUGUAAAGCACUUUAAGUUGGGAGGCGUUACCAACAGAAUAAGUACCGGCUAACUUCGUGACAGCAGCCGCGGUAAGUC
rnacentral:rRNA from 1 species